rnacentral:rRNA from 1 species
CCUACGGGGGGCUGCAGUAGGGAAUAUUGCUCAAUGGGGGAAACCCUGAAGCAGCAACGCCGCGUGGAGGAUGAAGGUUUUAGGAUUGUAAACUCCUUUUGUUAGAGAAGAUUAUGACGGUAUCUAACGAAUAAGCACCGGCUAACUCCGUGCCAGCAGCCGAGGUAAUACGGAGGGUGCAAGCGUUACUCGGAAUCACUGGGCGUAAAGGGUGCGUAGGCGGGGUAAUAAGUCAGAUGUGAAAUCCUGUAGCUUAACUACAGAACUGCAUUUGAAACUGUUACUCUGGAGUGUGGGAGAGGUAGGUGGAAUGCGUGGUGUAGGGGUAAAAUCCGUAGAGAUCAAGAGGAAUACUCAUUGCGAAGGCGACCUGCUGGAACAUUACUGACGCUGAUGCACGAAAGCGUGGGGAGCGAACAGGAUUAGAUACCCUUGUAGUC